AUGGGAAUCCCAAUCCGAUCUCUCCUCGUCGCCUCUCUCGUCCUCAGUUCGAUCGCCCUGCAUGUCGCGGCCAAAACCUUGGAUCCCUACAAGGUUCUUGGAGUUGACAAGAAUGCCAGCCAAAGGGAUAUUAAGAAAGCUUUUCACAAGCUUUCGCUAAAAUAUCAUCCUGACAAGAAUAAAGAGAAGGGUGCACAGCAGAAAUUUGAAGAGAUAAAUAAUGCGCAUGAGAUUUUGUCAGAUGAAGAGAAGAGGAAAAACUAUGAUCUCUACGAUGAUGAGAAGGGUAACCCAGGUAUGGGUGCUGGAAAUUUUGGGAGCCAUGACUUCACUGGUGGUGGCCCCAGGACUACCUAUUUCUCAUCCGGUGAUGGAUGGCAGACAAUGGGUGGUCAGGGAAAUUCAAAAACAUUCUCCUUCUCGUUUGGUGGCAACCCUGGGGCUGGCGGAGGAAAUCCGUUUGGCUUUGAUCUUGGUGAUGUUUUCUCCAACAUGUUUGCUGGUAGAUCAAUGGGUGGUAGCCAGCAUGGUGGAUUUGCUGGUUCUGGUAGACCCAGUGCGAGAACUUCCAGUCAGCAUAAAAACCCUGUCACCAUUCAGGAGGUUACGAUGCAAACAUUCAACAAAGAAAUAGCUGACCAAGGAAUAACUUGGCUUCUUCUAUUCUAUACACAACAAGCAAACGGUCAAUUUGUGCUUGAAAGUGUUCUGGAGGAUGUGGCUCGUUCAUUGGAUGGUGCAGUGAGGGCUGGCAAGGUAAAUUGUGAUAACGAAAAGGCCCUUUGCAAGAAAAACGGGGUUUCAGUAGGAAAAUCGGCUCGUCUCUUCAUUUAUUCAUACAGCACUGCAGAGAAAGGGUCUUUGCAUGAGUACUCUGGAGAUAGUGAUGCUAAGAGCCUGAAGACAUUCUGUCAAGAACACCUGCCGAGAUUCUCCAGACGGGUUGACAUUACCCAAUUCAAUUUCCCUUCCAAUGCCUUGCCAAACCUUCCUGAAGUGCUUUUGCUGUCAACAAAGAAGGACACACCAGCAAUGUGGCGAGCAGUCAGUGGGAUGUUCCACAGUCGCUUGAUAUUCUAUGAUGCAGAGGUUCAGGAUGUUUCUCUUCCACUGCUAAAACGCUUUGGCGUGAAGAAUGUUCCGGCGCUUAUUGGCCGAACCGUUAAUGGCGAGGUGCAACUUCUGAAGGAUGGUAUUUCAGUGAAAGAUCUCCGAUCUGGUAUCAAAGAAUUGAAGACUCUGCUAGAAAGUUUUGAGAAGAAGAACAAGAAGCUAGCAUCGGAACAAGCUAAGAAACCUGCCAAGGCAAGUGAACCGAAGGAAAACAAAAUCCCUCUCCUCAGCGCCUCCAAUUUCGAGGAAACCUGUGGAGAGAAGGCUCCAGUAUGCAUCAUUGGUGUUUUCAAGUCCAACAAAGCCAAGGAAAAGCUGGAGAGCAUCCUGUCCGAGAUAUCUCAGAAGACUCUGAUCAGGGGACAGAGCUACAGCUCUGGGAACGCAAUCACGUAUGCCUUGUUGGACGGCAACAAACAAUCUGCGUUCCUGUCCUCGUUCGACAAGUCUGGAUACAAGUCGUCCGAUAAGCUCCUGCUCGCGUACAAGCCUCGACGGGGGAGGUUCGCUGUGUAUAAGGGUGAGGUGUCAAUGGAAGAAGCUGAAAGGUUUGUGGUUUCCGUCCUGAAUGGAGACGUGCAGUUGUCGGCAACUGGACAGAAGCCAGUUCUUAGGUAG
rnacentral:rRNA from 1 species